rnacentral:rRNA from 1 species
AGUGAACGCUGGCGGUAGGCCUAACACACGCAAGUCGAUCGGCAGCACAGUAAGAGCUUGCUCUUACGGGUGGCGAGUGGCGGACGGGUGAGGAAUACAUCGGAAUCUACUUUUUCGUGGGGGAUAACGUAGGGAAACUUACGCUAAUACCGCAUACGACCUACGGGUGAAAGCAGGGGAUCUUCGGACCUUGCGCGAUUGAAUGAGCCGAUGUCGGAUUAGCUAGUUGGCGGGGUAAAGGCCCACCAAGGCGACGAUCCGUAGCUGGUCUGAGAGGAUGAUCAGCCACACUGGAACUGAGACACGGUCCAGACUCCUACGGGAGGCAGCAGUGGGGAAUAUUGGACAAUGGGCGCAAGCCUGAUCCAGCCAUACCGCGUGGGUGAAGAAGGCCUUCGGGUUGUAAAGCCCUUUUGUUGGGAAAGAAAAGCAGCAGGUUAAUACCCCGCUGUUCUGACGGUACCCAAAGAAUAAGCACCGGCUAACUUCGUG